CAUGCGUAAGCCGUCACGAUGUGACAUACCUAAGCUCCUCAACUUUUACCAGUGGGCCUGCGGGUCCGUCGACAGUGCAGUAGUCAUCGAUCAAACGCAGUGCCCGGUGCUCCUCUGGGGCUAGAAUUCGACAUCGGACGCGACACGUGUUCGUCGCUAAAAAACACCUGAUUGCCGGUUUUAUUCGGGGCAUCACGAUUGUCCCUGCGUCAGUUCCGAUUCGACCACUUCGGCGGCAAUUUCCGGGUGUGUCUGGACAGUUCGCCGGGGCCGCCUGAAAGCGGGGCUUCCGGUGGUGACUUCCCCCUCUGACAGCUGAAUUGCACAGUGCCCAUCGGCAGGCCGGCUGUCACAGCGGAAUCAUACGCCCCCGUGAAAAGUGAAUUACUCGAAGAGACGGAUAUGUCUUGCAAGACAAAUGGUGAUAUCAAUUUAGCUGUGUAGAAAUGUUGCAGACGUCAUUUUUUGAGCAAUCAAUUUAGGCGCAUGUGUAGGCUCAUCAGCACAACAACGUCACUUUCGGCACAUCAGGGGUACGAGCCACUGCUUCUGGCCUGCACAGUCGCCGGGAUCGGCCCUCAUUUUUGCUAACGGACGCGGACACGAAAGAUGAUGGCCACUGAGAGGCUACCAGCUUCGCUGUGAAAAGCAGUGAGACGAAGCCACCAGGAAGUUAUAUCGCAUCUCCCUUGCCUAUGCACACAUCCUGCUUAGAAACGAACGAACGGCCCCUGUACCGUGUUGUGAAGCGUCCGUGCAGAGUUCGAAAGGCUCCUUGAAGUCGGGUAGCACAGCCGCAGGAUCCGACGAUAUGGCUUCAACAAGGGCUGUGAACAUCACCAGACCUGUGCACUGGAGCAACCUUGCCCACCUUACAGUCAUCGGGGAGCGUACCAAUCUGCAAAGAUUGGGUAAAGAUCUCUGACAGCGUACAA